rnacentral:rRNA from 1 species
AUUGAACGCUGGCGGCAUGCCUUACACAUGCAAGUCGAACGGCAGCACGGGUGCUUGCACCUGGUGGCGAGUGGCGAACGGGUGAGUAAUACAUCGGAACAUGUCCUGUAGUGGGGGAUAGCCCGGCGAAAGCCGGAUUAAUACCGCAUACGAUCUACGGAUGAAAGCGGGGGACCUUCGGGCCUCGCGCUAUAGGGUUGGCCGAUGGCUGAUUAGCUAGUUGGUGGGGUAAAGGCCUACCAAGGCGACGAUCAGUAGCUGGUCUGAGAGGACGACCAGCCACACUGGGACUGAGACACGGCCCAGACUCCUACGGGAGGCAGCAGUGGGGAAUGUUGGACAAUGGGCGAAAGCCAGAUCCAGCAAUGCCGCGUGUGUGAAGAAGGCCUUCGGGUUGUAAAGCACUUUUGUCCGGAAAGAAAUCCUUGGCCCUAAUACGGUCGGGGGAUGACGGUACCGGAAGAAUAAGCACCGGCUAACUACGUG